rnacentral:rRNA from 1 species
UGGGCGCAGCCUGAUGCAGCCAUGCCGCGUGUGUGAGAAGCCUUCGGGUUGUAAGCACUUUCAGCGAGGAGGAUAGGUUGACGGUUAAUACCCGUCACCUGUGACGUUACUCGCACAAGAAGCACCGGCUAAAUCCGUGCCAGCAGCCGCGGUAAU